rnacentral:rRNA from 1 species
UACAGAGGGGGCAAGCGUUAUUCGGAAUUAUUGGGCGUAAAGGGCGCGUAGGCGGCUUCGCAAGUGGAAGGUGAAAUCCCACGGCUCAACCGUGGAACUGCUUGGUAUACUGGAUGUCUUGAGCCAGCUAGGGGCUACCGGAACAAAUGGUGGAGCGGUGAAAUGCGUAGAUAUCAUUUGGAACGCCAAUGGUGAAAACAGGUAGCUGGGGCUGUGCUGACGCUGAGACACGAAAGCCAGGGGAGCAAACGGGG